UGGCGGACGGGUGAGUAACGCGUGGGUAACCUGCCUCAUACAGGGGGAUAACAGUUAGAAAUGACUGCUAAUACCGCAUAAGACCACGGAGCCGCAUGGCUCAGUGGGAAAAACUCCGGUGGUAUGAGAUGGACCCGCGUCUGAUUAGGUAGUUGGUGGGGUAACGGCCUACCAAGCCAACGAUCAGUAGCCGACCUGAGAGGUUGGCCGGCCACAUUGGGACUGAGACACGGCCCAG
rnacentral:rRNA from 1 species